rnacentral:lncRNA from 1 species
CACAAUUUUGUAACUAACUGCUUUAUUGUCUGAUACAUUGUUUUACACUCGAAUUUAAAGGCAAAGGGUAAAGAGAAUGCGAUGUGUUCUUUAGGUAUUGCGUAAGUUAUAAUCAUAUAUCAUGUUUUUGUUCACCGCUAUUGUCUAGGUUUUCCUCACUAUUGUCUAGGUUUUCAUCAGUGUUCUCUAGAUUUUCACUAACUUCUGCCUCAUCCUGCUCUGUGAUAGUUUCUGCGCCCAUGCCAUCAGGUGGUGUCACACCUUCCUCAGUUGCAUUGCUUGCCUCAGUCGCAUUAACUACUGGUUGCAGAUUCUCCAU